rnacentral:misc_RNA from 1 species
UGAAUUUUAAUAAAAAAAUUUGAUUGCAUUACAUUAUAUUACGACCUACCAAAAAUUUCAAUCUGUCAUUGUUAUGAUUAAUUUGCACUUCUGCAGUUAUCUCUUCAGUUUACUAGCUUUGCAUUUAGCAUCCACCUUAUUGUUAUUGGAGCGAGAUUGCCCUCAAUUCUAUUUAAUUAAUAGCGUGUUUGACAGAAGUGGAUAUAAAUAUUAAUAAAGUAAA